rnacentral:ncRNA from 1 species
GUCCGGGACUGUCCUCAGUCCCGGGUCGUCUCGGCGCGGUUCCGAGCGGUCGCUCCCUCGCGAGGUGCCGCGGGUCAGCGGCUGACGCCAGCCACCUUCCCGACCCGUCUUGAAACACGGACCAAGGAGUCUAACAUGUGCGCGAGCCGCGGGGCAGUACGAAACCCGUAAGGCGAAAUGAAGGUGAACGCCGGCGCGGUCCGGCGGAGGUUGGAUCCCGUCCCGUCGGGGCGGGCGCACUACCGGCCGAUCUUCUCCGCCCUGUCGGCGAGGUCGAGCGAGAGCGUGCAAGUCGGGACCCGAAAGAUGGUGAACUAUGCCUGAGGAGGUUGAAGCCAGAGGAAACUCUGGUGGAGGACCGUAGCGAUUCUGACGUGCAAAUCGAUCGUCAAAUUUGGGUAUAGGGGCGAAAGACUAAUCGAACCGUCUAGUAGCUGGUUCCCUUCGAAGUUUCCCUCAGGAUAGCUGGCGCUCUGUCGCAGUUUUAUCUGGUAAAGCGAAUGAUUAGAGGUCUUGGGGGCGAAACGCCCUCAACCUAUUCUCAAACUUUAAAUUGGUAAGAAGCCCGACUCGCUCGUUUGGAGCCGGGCAUGGAAUGCGAGUGCCAAGUGGGCCACUCUUGGUAAGCAGGACUGGCGAUGCGGGAUGAACCGAACGCCGCGUUAAGGCGCCCGACGCGACGCUCAUCAGAGCCCACAAAAGGUGUUGGUUGAUAUAGACAGCAGGACGGUGGCCAUGGAAGUCGGAAACCGCUAAGGAGUGUGUAACAACUCACCUGCCGAAUCAAUCAGCCCUGAAAAUGGAUGGCGCUGGAGCGUCGGGCCUAUACCCGGCCGUCGCGGCGGUACGAGCAUCGAGUUGGUGCGCUAGGCCGCGACGAGUAGGAGGGCCGCGGCGGCGGGCGUAGAAGCCUAGGGCGCGAGCCCGGGUGGAGCAGCCGUCGGUGCAGAUCUUGGUGGUAGUAGCAAAUAUUCAAAUGAGAACUUUGAAGGCCGAAGUGGAGAAG